rnacentral:rRNA from 1 species
AAUGAACGCUGGCGGCAUGCCUAACACAUGCAAGUCGAACGAGACCUUCGGGUCUAGUGGCGCACGGGUGCGUAACGCGUGGGAACCUGCCCUUAGGUUCGGAAUAACUCCUCGAAAGGGGUGCUAAUACCGGAUAAUGUCUUCGGACCAAAGAUUUAUCGCCUUUGGAUGGGCCCGCGUUGGAUUAGCUAGUUGGUAGGGUAAAAGCCUACCAAGGCGACGAUACAUAGCUGGUCUGAGAGGAUGAUCAGCCACACUGGGACUGAGACACGGCCCAGACUCCUGCGGGAGGCAGCAGUGGGGAAUAUUGGUCAAUGGGCGGAAGCCUGAUCCAGCAAUGCCGCGUGAGUGAUGAAGGCCUUAGGGUUGUAAAGCUCUUUUACCCGGGAUGAUAAUGACAGUACCGGGAGAAUAAGCUCCGGCUAACUCCGUG